rnacentral:rRNA from 1 species
GACGAACGCUGGCGGCGUGCCUAAUACAUGCAAGUAGAACGCACAGGAUGCACCGUAGUUUACUACACCGUAUUCUGUGAGUUGCGAACGGGUGAGUAACGCGUAGGUAACCUGCCUGGUAGCGGGGGAUAACUAUUGGAAACGAUAGCUAAUACCGCAUAAGAACAUUUACUGCAUGGUAGAUGUUUAAAAGGUGCAAAUGCAUCACUACCAGAUGGACCUGCGUUGUAUUAGCUAGUUGGUGAGGUAACGGCUCACCAAGGCAACGAUACAUAGCCGACCUGAGAGGGUGAUCGGCCACACUGGGACUGAGACACGGCCCAGACUCCUACGGGAGGCAGCAGUAGGGAAUCUUCGGCAAUGGGGGGAACCCUGACCGAGCAACGCCGCGUGAGUGAAGAAGGUUUUCGGAUCGUAAAGCUCUGUUGUUAAGGAAGAACGUGUGUGAGAGUGGAAAGUUCACACAGUGACGGUACUUAACCAGAAAGGGACGGCUAACUACGUGCCAGCAGCCGCGGUAAUACGUAGGUCCCGAGCGUUGUCCGGAUUUAUUGGGCGUAAAGCGGGCGCAGGCGGUUAGAUAAGUCUGAAGUGAAAGGCAGUGGCUCAACCAUUGUAGGCUUUGGAAACUGUUUAACUUGAGUGCAGAAGGGGAGAGUGGAAUUCCAUGUGUAGCGGUGAAAUGCGUAGAUAUAUGGAGGAACACCGGUGGCGAAAGCGGCUCUCUGGUCUGUAACUGACGCUGAGGCUCGAAAGCGUGGGGGAGCGAACAGG